rnacentral:RNase_P_RNA from 1 species
ACAGCAGGCGAAACUGUCGCAAAGGCAAAGGUCUUUGAGGAAAGUCCGGACUUCGUGAACAUCUUUAUAAGAUGCUUAAAAAAAGGUGGCUAAUGACCACUGGGGGCGACCCUAAGGAAAGUGCAGCAGAAAAAACACCGCCACGUGUGGUAAGGUUGAAAAGGCGAGGUAAGAGCUCACCAGAUAUAUGGCGACAUAUAUGCUUUGUAAACCCCUUUUGAAGCAAGACCAAGUUUGGUAGGUCGCAUGAACAAAAUAGUAAUAUUUUGUCAAGAUAAAUGACAGUUUAUAACAGAAUCCGGCUUAUGUGUCUGCUGUUUUA